UUAGGAAAGUGAACCUAACAUCUUCCACCUCUUGCGAUCUUUCCAUUUUCAUAUUUGUCUCCCAGGUUCUCCCUUUCGAAUGUCGCGUGUGCUUUACUCGUCUUCGCCUUUUGCUCUGGGAUGUAAAUUGAUGUUCCUCGUAUCGUGGAGUGCGUAGUGGUCGCCAUCUAGACGCAGCUCAGUUCCAGAUGUAGGGUCCGACCUUACAAAUUCGCACUUCCGUGGCUAGGGAUCUCAUAUAUAUAGAAGCUUGACUAUUGGUGAGUCCUCAUGUUCUGAGGACCGAGCUUGAUUUCCCUUUUGUCUUUACUUUCAGUUCUUGGAACUUGAUGUACGGGAUACGUCCCGAUCAAUCUUAUGUACUAGAUGGCUUUGAGACGAUGUUUAGACUUUCGCUUUUCUCUAUAAAACUUUUAUAUGUCGAAACU